CUAUCUGAAAAGCACAGCAUAAGAUUCGAUUAGGCGAAGCAGAACAGAGGGGUCAACCACAGGGGGUUGUCAACUUUCACCACUCUUCUUGCUAUCAUCCAGGCAUCUCAAAUUGGAAGGCUACACAAAGUUUGGGACCUGACUAUGCAUCAGUAAUCAAGAAACUGAAGAAAUAUAGUCCUGGUUCGUACCUGGAUGGGAGACCACUAAACAAUUCCAGAAUUCACUAGCAUUCAACAUCUACCGAGUGAAAAAACAGCAAGGAUCAGAUUCUCCCACAGUGCAUCCAUGUAAGCCACCCAACAAUGAUGGCUUGUAAUAGUGGCACUGGGCUUUGCUGCCACAUUAUUUGAACAAGUGGAAGCUCAGCCUGCUGUGUAAUUAAUCCAGGGCUGAAUAAUGAAUUGCAGUUCCCAUGCCUGUAAGGGGACACUGACCUGAACCGGCAAAACCUGUCAUGCCCCCAACAGUUCAAAACUUUAAUAUUUUCUCAUGGAUGUAGUAUCACACCAUCUAGCAUCCAACUGUUACAUUUAUAUAACUGUGUAUUUGAUCAGUCCCUUGAUCUAGUUCAACAACCAGCUGGAACAAUAAGAAAAAUAAUUUAAUAUUAAAUAAAAGACUUUUCUCUUAAGAUAGUGCUGCCUGGGGAAGGUAGAAGAGCAGCUUGAAACCACAUUUGAUUUUCUCUAAGGAACCCUUUAUCUCUUUGAUUAGUAUGAAAUAUGAAAAGCAGAAGUUCUCUUAAAAUACAUCGCUUUAUUGUGGCCUUUAAUCUUGAAUCUUGAAAAGUCUUUCAAAAUCUACAGUGAACUCUUUGAACAAUGAACUCUUGAAUCACAGCUCCUUUGCAACUUAUCAUUGACAGUUACAUGGCCAUGGAAUUGAAUAUCUUUAAUUACAUCAAAAUGGUGCCAAUAUAGUCAAUAUCUGUGCAUUAUCAAUAUGUACAUGGUGUACAAAAAGGAUUCUUGCAUGUUUUUCAAUUCUUCUGAUCCAUAACAGACUUUUGGUGUUCAAGGAAGGUGUUAAAUGAUUCAUGUGAAAGUGGAAGCAGCAGGAAUGAAUUGCUUCCUUCUGUUCCAAUUUUCAUGUUGUACUGCUGCCUACUAUGUUGUUAUUGUGGAAUGAAAAAUGCAUUAAAUGCCUGGGAGAAAGGAUUCAGAUCAACAUUCCAUCCACUCUUCAUCCAAAAGACAAGUUUCCACUUCAUUUGCAUUACUGAGUAAUUUUAUUUCCUCCACACACACCCAUCACAUCCUUCAUUACAAGAAUAAUCAGAAUUGUGUGACAUUAAAACUGCCACAAAUCCUGUAGUUAGUAUCUCAACAUCUACAUAUAAUACUGAUCAUAAUAUUAUAAUACAAUAUAAUACUAAUAAUAAUACAAUAUAAUAAUAUAAUAAUUAUAUAUUAUAUAUUACAUGUAAUAUUACUAAUAAUAUUGCAGAAUAGUGGUUUAGUACAAUAUAGUAAUAUAUGAUACUAAUAUUGUGCUAUGAUAAUAAUAUAAUAUAUUGUAUGUACAUAUAACUUGUAAGCUGCUUUGAGUCCCCUUCGGGGUGAUAAGGGCAGGAUAUAAAUGUCAUAAAUAAAUAAAUAAAUAAAUAAAGUAUACAAAAUGGAAGAAACUCAUAAAAAGCAACACACUGUAAUCCAGGUUAUCUAAACCGUAUGAGUAAGAGUAACAACAAAUAAGACUCAGCACCCUCUUAUAUGCUCAGAGGCACAGGUAUGUAGUAUAAAAUGCUGAUCCACCCUAGCACAAUCCUAUACAGUACCACUAAGGAAAAUGUCUAAAUUAAAUAACUUUGGUAUUUGGUACCCUUCCCGAACAGAUAAAAUGAAGAAAGAAAUGGUAUUAUUGACUUCCCCAUUUUACAGGACAAUGUUCUUUUCAAAAGGUGUGCAAAUUAGAAGCUCAACAUCUAAUCGCCAAUUUCAUUAAUAUCCAGCAAGUGUGAUUCAUACAGUUCCCCUAAGAAAAGGGAUCACACCACAGGAAAGGGGCUGUCCCCUGCCACUGUAUGUGUACAGAAAGGAACAUACGCUUUAGGCACAAUCAGCAAUAGAGCAGAAAACAACAGCAGGAUUUCUAACCAUAAUGUUGUCUAUUUACCCACUAAAAACAAGUGCAAGCAAUCCAAUCUAUUUUCAGUGCAAGAUAUCUAUAUUUAGAAAAGCAAGGGUUUAAAGCAAAUCAAUUCUCAACAAAAAUGAUUUGUGGGAUUUUAUUCCAUUUCUACAUAUUUAGGUGCUAUACCGCAAACCUUCUGUAGAUGUUCUUUCACUUCUAUAAUACAGGGUGUUUGAAAAAGAGCUCCCUAUUCACCAUUUGAUUUAAAUGGUGAAUUGGGAGUUCUUCUUCAAACACCCUGUAUAAAGGACUUAACCCAAUUGUUGAGCCAAAGCAAAUUGGCUAUUAGAUAACUGUUGAAUUCUGUACCUUUGAUUCAAUGGGUUUAAUCUAGUUGGGAUCAUAAAUUUAAUUUAGCCCGAAGUCUGUAACAGGACACAGAGGAAAGACUGACCAAUUUCAAGGGUGAUAUCACAUACUUCCUUUUUCACCAUGUUUUUAAGAUGAUGCAAUAUUUGAACAUACCAGACAUUAGUUUGCAAACAUACAUGGAAUUGACACGCAGUAAUUAAAAAGCUAUAUUGCAUGAAAUGGCCCAAAGUCUAGUGUGGAAAGCAGCAUGUUAGUGAGAGUUGAGUGUAUGAAUCUAAAAAUGCUUUCUUUGAACCUGGGCACUUACUGUGCAAUCAUGCUUACUGUUAAAUCAUGCUUUCACUAAUUUUUAUGACGUCUCUGUAUGACAUCAUGAGGAAAACAACACUUCUCUCUAUAUUCCCUCAUUAAACUUCUUCCCCAUCUUGGACAUCAGAAAAAAAUGUGACUUUGUAACAGAAGUGAACUUCAACAUUCCCUAUUUGUUGUUAUGAUCUAUAUAAAUGGGUCUGGCCAUUCCAUGUGUACAAGCUUACCUAUCAAAAUAUUUAUUUAUUUUAUUUCCAAUAUUUCUAUCCCGCCCUUCUCAUCCGAAAGGACUCAGGACAAUUGGCAACAAUUCGAUGCGACACAUAAUUAAAAUCAAACAGCAUAUAAAAUCUAUUACAAACAAUUAAUACAGUAUAAAAUAUAAAACAUAUGGUUAAAAUCCGUUCAUCCAAUAUCCUCGUACUUUAGCCACUUUAACCUUUCCCUUUCCAAAUUUUCUUUACAUCAUUUUAUUUACAUCAACUUCAUAGAAUCAUAGAAUUGGAAGAGAACUUGUGGAUCAUCCAGUCCAACCUCCUGCCAAGAAGCAGGAAAAUCGCAUUCAAAGCACCCUCGACAGAUGGCCAUCCAGCCUCUGUUUAAAAGCCUCCACAGAAGGAGCCUCCACCAACUUCUUCAUCUCCACCCAAAGUUAGGUAGAAUAAUGACUGAAACUGCAACAAGGGAAGAGCAAGGAGAGAAACUGCCUUUUAACAUUAUAUCAUACUCCAAUAAAAGUGCUCCCAACAUUUCUGGAUGGAAAAAAUAUGCAGACUAUUUGACUAAAGAUUGACAUAUCUUCCAAUGAAUGCUUCUAAAACUAGCCUCUUAUUUUUACACAUUCUUUGUACAAAAUAAAUGUUUCUGAGAUAGAUCUUGAAACUGAAAUGAACAACCUAUAGCGAAUUAAAACAUUAGCUACUUGUACAAUUUAAACACUUGAUAGAACUUGUCAAGCACAAAUGACAUUACAAGGCAGAAUAUCAAUUUAUGCUGGGGAUGGACUUGUACUCACAAUGUAUUUUGAGACUGAUGUAAACAGGAGAAAGCCUGUUCUAUAAGGAAAAAUUGACGGUUUCAAGGUUGAUUUCACAUUCAACCUUUUUCAGUGUGUCCCCAGGAUUAUGCAAAAAUUGAACAAAUUGAGGUAUAAGUUCUGAUGAAACUGACAAAGCUAUCAAGUUAGCAAUUCUACGUGUUGUCGAAGCCUUUCAUGGCUGGAAUCAUUGGGUUGCUGUGAGUUUUCCGGGCUAUAUGGCCAUGUUCCAGAAGCAUUCUCUUAAUGGAUGCCUGCUUUAGAUGUGAGCAAAAUGUCAGGAGAGAAUGCUUCGGGAACAUGGCCAUACAGCCUGGAAAACUCACAGCAACUUUAAGCGAUUUUAUUCAACCCAUUACCAAUUUAAGCACACACAUCAGAGUUCACUUUUUGGUGCCUACAAAAAAAUUACAAAUGCCCUCCAGGAGAACUGGAAGAGGUGAGAACUGUUUAUCCCAAUGUGACUUGUUAUUGGAUGAUAGUUUCUUUUCACAGCAACUCACAGAGACAAAGCAACUGAUAGGAACUGUGUUCAAUCUGCUUUUCUUCUUAUACCACUUAAAUUAUAUCCUAUGCUUUCAUGUCUGCUUCUUCACUCAACUCCAUGGGUGCACUGCGAGAGCUUUGGAUUAUGGGUUAAACUUUUUUUUUCCUGGAAAAAAUUAGACAUUUGAAGUGUUGCAAACAGGGGCCAUGUAAACUGGGACUUGCCUUAGUACAAUAUCUUUUUGUUUUGAGAAAACCAUUGGCUAAUCAGAAGUUGAAAUAAAUGUUUCUUUCCACAGUGUAGAUUGGACAUCAGCUUAAUCAAGUCAAAGUAGGUUCUGACUAAAGAAAUUCAUAAAAGAGGACCUAUGUUGUAGGUACUUUGUAUUAAAGCCUCCAGGAGAAUAAAAAAAAUAGAUUUGUACUAUUAAA